CAGCAGCCGCGGUAAUACGUAGGGCGCGAGCGUUGUCCGGAUUUAUUGGGCGUAAAGAGCUCGUAGGCGGCUUGUCGCGUCGACUGUGAAAACCCGCGGCUCAACCGCGGGCUUGCAGCCGAUACGGGCAGGCUAGAGUUCGGUAGGGGAGACUGGAAUUCCUGGUGUAGCGGUGAAAUGCGCAGAUAUCAGGAGGAACACCGGUGGCGAAGGCGGGUCUCUGGGCCGAUACUGACGCUGAGGAGCGAAAGCGUGGGGAGCGAACAGGAUUAGAUACCCUGGUAGUCCACGCUGUAAACGUUGGGCGCUAGGUGUGGGGGGCCUCUCCGGUUCUCUGUGCCGCAGCUAACGCAUUAAGCGCCCCGCCUGGGGAGUACGGCCGCAAGGCUAAAACUCAAAGGAAUUGACGG
rnacentral:rRNA from 1 species